CGGAUCCGAUUUUGCGAAACAUGUGUGAUUUUGAGAUGGGUCUAGUUGGAUCAGUUUGUGGGGAGGAGAGGAGGCUGAGUCUCAACAAGAAAGUGUGGGAAGAUCAGCUCCAGGGACUUGCCAGGAGGGCCUGCAGAAGAGGAAAGGAGAGAAAAAAUAAGGAUACAAUGUAGAAUAAAAUCUCAUUAUUCUUCUCUUUUUUUUUUCAUUUGCUUUUUUUUUAUUAAUUUAAAAAUAAGAGAAAUAUUUAUACUGGUUCCAGAAAAUAUUAAGAAAAAAAAAAUGUUGAGGAAAAUGAUUUUUUCAUAUUUGGUUUUUUUAUAAAAAAAUAUGAAAGAAAGUUAAAUAUAAUUAAAAUUAUUAAGAGAUUUAUAUAUUUUUAAAUUAUUUAAUCUUUCUAUAAAAGGGUUAAAUAAAUAAAUAAAUAAUUUGAAAUAAUAUAUAAAAAUAAUUUAUUUAUUUUAAAUUUAUUUUUUAUUUUCCUUCAUUUUCUCUUUCUUUUUACUUUCUCUCUAUUUUUUUUUUCUUGCAUUUUUCCUUAAACUUUCCGAGAACCAAACAUAAAAAUAAUAAAAUUUCAAAUUCCUCCCUAAUUUAAAAUAAAAUCUCAAACUGGACCAAACUUUUGAGUACACCUUCCCAAACCUGUUUUAUUAGGGUCACACAAGGUGGAGAGGGUUCACAAAAUAUCCGCCUACAGUCUCAUCCCUAAUUAUAGGAUUACGGUGUUUGGGCAAAUAAAUUGGGCCUGGAUGGUCCGACCCAAUAACUGGGUACAGUGCUCUGGGCUAGACUCAGUCGAUAUAAUUUUUCAAUUUAGGCUGAGUUGGGGUUGAUCUCAAAGCACCCCAAUUGGCACCCAUACAUCAAAAUAUUUGGAAAAAAGAUGAUACGAAUCAACUAAGUCAUCAACCCAAAAUUCAACAUAGAGAUCCUGAAAUUCAUGCAUAAAAUCGUUGAUACCCACCUUUGUAUUGUAGUGAAUUAACUUCCUUUUCUUAAGAAUAAUUGAACAUUUUCUUGUAUUCAUCGCCAACACCCAAAAACAACCAAAGCUUAGGUAAAAAGGAAGAAGGAACUGAAUGCCGUAAACCACUCAAGAGAUCACAAGAAAUUUCUCUUCCCCAUUUCCCCAUCAGAGAAAGAAGAGAGAUGUGUUUUAAUUUGGGGUACAAACCCAAGAAAAGAAAGCAUGUUGGCAAGAAGGGAAGAAGUGUCAAUGGAGAGGAGGAAAGCAAGGGAUUGUUACUCAAGGAGGUAGACAAGUGGAAGCAGCAGCAAGAAGAUACGUUGAACCAAGACGAUCAUUCAUCAUCACUCCACAGACCCUCCACUCCCAACCACUAAUCCUCUCUUCAAGCUUUUGUUUCCUUUUUUGUUGCUUUUCUUUUUAUGAGAUGGUAUGUUCCUGGUUGUUGAUUGCUUUAAAAACAAAUGAUCUAAAAAGUUAUGAGCUUACAUGAGUAAAGAAGGAAUUAAUGGUUUCUAUGCUAUUAUGGAAAUGGAUGGUGGAUAAUUUUUGCUGGGUUUUUAGGCUAAGAAUGUGAAUCUAUCAACUAUCCAUUGAGUUUUCCAGGGAACCACUGCUAAUUAUGUGGUUAU
rnacentral:lncRNA from 1 species